ACUCAAGCUUGGAAUGAAGCCACUGCACAUGGAGAGGGGAUUCUGAGGGAUUUGGAGGCCCCUUCUUCCCAGAAAACAGCCAUGUCCUAUUUUCCAGGAGGAUUGGGAUCCUCCCCAGGUUUCCUGGGUGUCCAGUGGGUGCAGGGCAGGAAUUUCUUGAUGGAACAGGAAUUUUUAGCUCCAGGAUUCCGGCAUCUCCGAGCUCGGUUUCCCACCACCCGGGAAGGGGCAGGACCCUCCAGCUGAGGACUUCAGGAGCAUAUGGAGCAACUUUUGGAAGUGAUUUUUCCUUCCUUUUGACCCUAGAGGGAGCUGAGAGGCCGGGUUAGGAAGCACAACAUUCCAGAAUUCGGGAGAGGUUUCCAGCCCUGGAGCUAGGUUGGACAGGGCUUGGAGCAACCUGAUCCAAUGGAAGGUGUCCCUUCCCACAGCAGGGGCUUGGAACUGGAUGAUACUUAAGGUCCCUCCCAAUCCAAACCAUUCCAAGAUUCAGUGAAUGGGAUACACCCCCAAACCCAGCCUAAAUCAGAUCCCAGAAAAGAGCUGGAGUGACAGACCUGGAAAGCAAAGAGCAACAAGUGACUCGUGUGCCCAUCCCAUCCGUGACCUUCUUUCAUCCCACCUCCCUGAUGGAAGCACUUGGCCUCGUAAAGGGCUACAUCUGGCGGCACAACUUUCCAGGAAAAACACGGACAUGGGUGAGGUUCAACCCCUCCAGCGCAUUCCUGGUGCCUCAGAGCCUUUAAUUCCUGCUGCUCCCUCUCCCUCUCAACACCCCAAUCCUAACAAUCCCAGGGAUUUCGUUCCAGGAACACUUGAGCCCCCGUGGAAAUUCUGGGAUCCCCUCUUUAUCUUCCAGCAUAUCCAGGGCUCAAAUUCCCAGCCAAAACCACCCUACAUGGUGGAUUUCCUUCCAAAUCCUGCAGCAUUCCUGAAAUUCCAGCCUUUCAGCCAGAAACUGCCCUCGGCCUCCAGAACAGCCCCUUUCCGAGCAAGUUAUCCAUGGAAAAAGCGCCUUUCCCCUUCCAAGGUAAACUCAGGUCCAGCCUGGAGCCCGAGGAAGGAUGUCAGGAUUUAUCCUGGAAGCAGAUUCCAGAGGAAGUGAGACUUUGAAACAGAUGCAGGGAAGCAGUGGAGUUUUCCAGCCCUUUGUUUGCAGGAAUUUUGAGCCUUGGGGAUAUAUGCAAUGCAUUCCUUGGAUUUUAAUGUUUGUUUUCCUAUUUUUCAGGGGAAAUUAUGGAUAGGGGAAGCCUGGCUGGAUGCUCAGACUCAGGAGGGAUCAGUGAGACCCAUCCACCCCGAGUCCCUUCCCACCAGGAUAAAUUUACAAACCUGGUGGAACCAAAAUCCCUUUUCCAGCCCAAAAUUCCAUGGUUUGUUUUUUUCCAAAGAAAAUAGAUUGCGACGGAGAAAUUCCUUCCAGAGGAGGUUGCUGCUUCCCAGGACAAACUUUAUAUCCCCAUAAAAAUACCACAAGUCAACAUUUUGCUUUGCUUCCAGAUGUUUCCAUAGUGAUUCCGGAAGGAAAGUCAUGUUUUCUGGAAUGAAUCGCAGGAUUUUUUGGCUUUUAUCUGUGUGACAUUCCCGGGAGUCAUGGCACCGAUGCCACUGCAAGCACACCAGGGAAAGCUGCACCUAAACACCGGGAUACUCUGGGAAAACUGACUCUGAUCCCUUGGAGGGUGAGGAUGAUUCCCAGCUUCUUUCCUGGGAAGCUGCCGCGCUGGGAAAACACAGAUGGAUCCAGCUGCUUGGCUGAGGGUUGGAAUGGCUUCCUGGUGGUCCCUGUGGAGCUGGGAGAGGCCAGGAUUCUCUGGAGCCCUAAUGGAUUGCGGACACGAGAGCUGGGCCCAGAAAUAACCGACAGGGAGUGAAUAAUCCAUGAGGCUUUGGCUGAGCAGCCGGAGCGGCGGGGAGGUGGGAAAAACAAGGAAAACACCCAAAAACCAAAGGGGAUGUUCAAGGAGGACAUCACUGAUCCUGCUCUGGGAGAUUCGGGAUGGAUCUUGCCCCCAAAAGUAAGGAGAUCCCCCCAGCAGGGCACUGAGAAGUCACCAGGAUGUUCCCACCCCUUGGAAAACCAGUCUUGGGGUCUCCAUCCUGGCUUUCCAGGAGUUUCGGAUGCUCCUUAAAUAACUUGAUGGCACUGGAAUGCUCGUUAGGUCCCCAAGCAUAUCCAUGGAUGCAGGAUAAUUAGGGAUGGAUCCAUAAAGAGCUCAUCAGGAGCCGAGAAAAUGAUCCCAGAGACCUUUGGCUCCCGUUCCCGACCCUAAAAACAAGGGAUUUUGGAGGGAUUGCAGCCCCUCCUCUCCCUUCCUGCCACAUGGAAUUUUGGGAACAGGGAGCACAUGGCACCGGUGUCCCCAUGUCACCCCAAGGAGCAGCUCUAGCCCCGGGGGCAGCUUCUCCAGUGCUGGAAAAAGCGGGAUGUGCUGGGAUGUGCUGGCGUCACCGGCAUCGCCGACGGCACUCCAGCCGCUCUGGCCCAGCUAAAAAUAGCACAGUUCGAGUGUAGGGGGGAAUCUGGGGGCAGAAUUCCCUCAGGAGAGCAGGUACUGGGGAUUUAGGGGGAUAAAAAUCCCUUGGAAUAAGGUGCCAGGGGUUUAGGGGUUGGAAUUGCCUCAGGAGAGAAGGGUAUGAGGGACUUAAAGGGACAAAAUUCCCUUGGGAGCAGACACAGGGGGUUUAGGGGGAAAAGAAUCCCUUGGGAACAGGUGCCACAGGUUAAGGGGGAUGGAAUUACCUCAGGAGAGAAGGCACUGGAGGUUCAUGGGGAUAAAAGUCCCUUGGGAGCGGGAUCCAGGGGUUUAGGAGGGUGGAACAAAUACCAGGAGAGAACAAAUGCCAGGGGUUUGGAGCAGGGCAGGAUUCUCUUGGGAGGCAGAACAGGUAGCAGGGGCUAAGGGGAGCAGAAUUCCCUUGGGAGAGAGCAGGUACCCCCAAACCAGGCGGGAUGAGCCCUUUU